rnacentral:rRNA from 1 species
UAGGGAAUCUUCCACAAUGGACGCAAGUCUGAUGGAGCAACGCCGCGUGAGUGAAGAAGGUUUUCGGAUCGUAAAGCUCUGUUGUUGGUGAAGAAGGAUAGAGGCAGUAACUGGUCUUUAUUUGACGGUAAUCAACCAGAAAGUCACGGCUAACUACGUGCCAGCAGCCGCGGUAAUACGUAGGUGGCAAGCGUUGUCCGGAUUUAUUGGGCGUAAAGCGAGCGCAGGCGGAAUGAUAAGUCUGAUGUGAAAGCCCACGGCUCAACCGUGGAACUGCAGCGGAAACUGUCAUUCUUGAGUGCAGAAGAGGAGAGUGGAAUUCCAUGUGUAGCGGUGGAAUGCGUAGAUAUAUGGAAGAGCACCAGUAGCGAAGGCGGCUCUCUGGUCUGCGACUGACGCUGAGGCUCGAAAGCAUGGGUAGCGAACAGGA